UCACUAUAACACUGUGGCCAUUUCUCAAUACACAUUCUUGUCUGUCCUUCUGUUCUUGCGUUCUCGUGAAACGUCAUCAGUCGCGGCCCAAGUACUGUUCCAUUUGAAAGUUCGCAUAAACCAAGAACACAUGGAA